rnacentral:rRNA from 1 species
UACGUAGGGGGCUAGCGUUGCUCGGAAUCACUGGGCGUAAAGCGCACGUAGGCGGCUUUCUAAGUCAGACGUGAAAUUCCUGGGCUCAACCUGGGGGCUGCGUUUGAUACGUGCGGACUUGAGUGCGGAAGAGGGUCGUGGAAUUCCCAGUGUAGAGGUGAAAUUCGUAGAUAUUGGGAAGAACACCGGUGGCGAAGGCGGCGACCUGGUCCGAUACUGACGCUGAGGCGCGAAAGCGUGGGGAGCAAACAGG